CAAAAACCUGACUGAGGAGAGAGAUGACCUGAAGAGAACUGUGAAGGACUAUGUUUCAGAGCAAAACUCCCUGACUGAAGAGCGAGACAAGUUGAAGAGAAUCAACCUUGAUCUGGAGGCAAAAUGGAAAAUGACAGUUUCACUGCAAAACUCCUUGACUGAAGACAUUACAUUACAUUGCAUUUAGCUGACGCUUUUAUCCAAAGCGACUUACAAUAAGUGCAGAGAGAGACAAGUUGACAAGUUGAAGAGAAUCAACCUU